CGGGCAAUGACUCAUGAAAGUUUGCUUUUUGUUAAAUUAUUUUAGAAUAUGAACGAGUACCAAGUUGAACAUUUGUGGUAAUGUUGGGAAUAAUAAAGUUCAUGUGUUGACUGCAUACAAUAGGAACAUGGGGUACUGUUCACGAACAGAAUGCUUAUCACUCAGGCUCUGAUUGGACAAUUGGGACAACUUGGUGUUUGAAAAUGUUUUGCAAAAUGAUUUAUUGGCACAUGAAGUGGUGGGUUGAUACUGUUUCAUCCUUUUGGCACAUGAAGUGGUGGGUUGAUACUGUUUCAUCCUUACUGACAUGCUUCUGUCAUUUAAGGCCCUGGACAUCAUUCCCUGUGAUUCUAGUGACACUGUUCUUUCUUCUUCUUUGUUGGGAGUAUUUUGGGAUGUGAUUCUUCAUACAAAAUUUUCAAAAGCAUGAGUGAUGAUGUGAUCUUAAAUUUUCUUGAAAAUUUUAUUUUGAAACAAAAUGUAUAAGAGGAAAUGAAAUAUG
rnacentral:misc_RNA from 1 species